GACGAACGCUGGCGGCGUGCCUAAUACAUGCAAGUCGAACGGUCUUUUCUAUGGAAGCUUGCUUCCACUGAGAAGAUAGUGGCGAACGGGUGAGUAACACGUGGGUAACCUGCCCAUAAGAGGGGGAUAACAUCCGGAAACGGGUGCUAAUACCGCAUAGUUUUCUUGAUUGCAUGAUCGAGAAAGGAAAGACGGCCUUUGUGCUGUCGCUUAUGGAUGGACCCGCGGCGUAUUAGUUAGUUGGUGAGGUAACGGCUCACCAAGACGAUGAUACGUAGCCGACCUGAGAGGGUGAUCGGCCACAUUGGGACUGAGACACGGCCCAAACUCCUACGGGAGGCAGCAGUAGGGAAC
rnacentral:rRNA from 1 species